UUUCUUCCAGAAAUUCCAUCGACCGCAUUCCAUUUCUCAAUUUCUUUCGCUCCUGUUUGUUAACUGCUUAUAUUUUGAACAAGUAAGGCAAGCUGCUUUGGACGUUUGGACGUUUCCCCCUUUCUCACUCAUAUCCAUUAAAAAUUCCUAUGUACUCCCAUUAUCAAGUUGCAAAUUUCUUGUGUCAGAACCCUUUGUAAGAAUUCCCCCUUUCUGCUUUGACUUGGUUAGCUAAAAACAUGAAGGAAGAUUGAAUGUUGGCUAAUGUAUUGAUAAAUGAAUGUUUUGAGGAUGACAAAGGAACUGGAAACUACAACUUUUUCUCCCCCAUACGAUAAGGAUAAGAGCAUGAAAUGUUAGUAAAGGAUAAGCAUAACAAGAAAAAAAAAAAUACAUCCGUUUCGAAUUGAUAGGGAAAGCAAACUCAAAAUUGUUUUUUUUUCCUGCUAUCACACUUAUGGUCAAAUAAAUUAUUAUAGAUUUAUAUUCAUA